GAUGAACGCUGGCGGCGUGCCUAAUACAUGCAAGUCGAGCGAACAGACGAGGAGCUUGCUCCUCUGACGUUAGCGGCGAACGGGUGAGUAACACGUGGAUAACCUACCUAUAAGACUGGGAUAACUUCGGGAAACCGGAGCUAAUACCGGAUAACAUGUUGAACCGCAUGGUUCAACAGUGAAGGACGGUCUUGCUGUCACUUAUAGAUGGAUCCGCGCCGCAUUAGCUAGUUGGUAAGGUAACGGCUUACCAAGGCAACGAUGCGUAGCCGACCUGAGAGGGUGAUCGGCCACACUGGAACUGAGACACGGUCCAGACUCCUACGGGAGGCAGCAGUAGGGAAUCUUCCGCAAUGGGCGAAAUCCUGACGGAGCAACGCCGCGUGAGUGAAGAAGGUCUUCGGAUCGUAAAACUCUGUUAUUAGGGAAGAACAAAUGUGUAAGUAACUAUGCACGUCUUGACGGUACCUAAUCAGAAAGCCACGGCUAACUACGUG
rnacentral:rRNA from 1 species